ACCGCAUAGAGGAUUUCGUCUUAAUAUCUGCUAGAUGGCUGUCUGCCUGUCUUUGACCAUAAUAUCAGGCUGCUGGAGUGCCGCUCUUCCCGGUAUAUUGGGAACUUGUAUUACUUGCAUGUUGCAAACAUCACUAGUUCACUACCUACAGCUUAUUACUCAAUUAUGUCAUUUUUUCUCAUUUUCUUCCUUUCUCUUUUUCCUUUUUUUCUUCCUUUCUUUUUACUUUUUUUUCUUUUGAGACUUUUAAGUUUUACCCUCCAUUUUUUUCUGCCAACCUCAAAAAUUUUCUGGGACCAAUGGUCCUGCGGUCCGCUAUAUUAUGCAGCCCUGGUUAUCAAAGCAGAAUAUUUUGAAACAAUUAACUGGUCGAGUGACAGGUUGGUUUCCGUAUGUAUGUAGUUUAAAAUACAGUUGUGAAUGAAAUUAUACACAGUAUCUUGAAACCUUUAAAUAACAGUCUGUAUACUGGUUGUAUCUUGGAACCUGUAAAUAACAGUCUGUAUACUGGGUGUGCGUUCGCCUAUUUGUUUACAUUUGCAGUUACUAUACAUUGGUUCAUGAUUUAUGAAAUUUGAACCAAAGCUGUAACAUAAUAUUAGUCACGGCACAAGUCACUAAUAAUUUUAGGGUAAAUAUUUUUCUGAAAUACU